rnacentral:misc_RNA from 1 species
AAGUCGUAACAAGGUUUCCGUAGGUGAACCUGCGGAAGGAUCAUUACUGAGAUAGGGUCCUUUGGGGCCCGACCUCCAACCCUUUGUCUAUCUUACCACUGUUGCCUCGGCGGGUCGUCGGCGCCUAUCACUAGGUGCCGCCGUCGGCCUCGUGCUCUCGAGUACCCGCCAUCAGGCCCCCUAAACCCUCUUAAACCAUAGCAAUCUGAGAGUAAACUUAACACUUAAAACUUUCAACAACGGAUCUCUUGGUUCUG